UCUGGCAAGUCAUGACAACGGACACCACUCCACUCUCUGGGCUCCACCACUCUCUGGCAAGUAGCGACAAUGGACACCACUCCACUCUCCGUAACAAACUCCACAUGGCCCUGAACGACCCCUGAUGCCACUACUCUCUGUAACAAACUCCGUGCGGCUCUGGACGGCCCACUACCAGGCAGUUACAGAUGUCGCUGUCAAUCAGUUACGCUCUCCGUCUAUAAAAAAAGACCCCCAGAUACGUUCUUCUCUAAGCUCUAAACUCUAUCUCGAAACUCUACCAAAAUUCCCACUCGAACACUCCAUUUCUGUUAAAGUAGAGUACUGACUUGAGCGUCAGAGG
rnacentral:lncRNA from 1 species